rnacentral:rRNA from 1 species
UGCAAGUCGAACGGUGAAAGAGGAGCUUGCUCCUCUGGAUCAGUGGCGAACGGGUGAGUAACACGUGAGUAACCUGCCCCUCACUCUGGGAUAACACUUGGAAACAGGUGCUAAUACCGGAUACGACCCUCGGAGGCAUCUCCUGGGGGUGGAAAGAAUUUCGGUGAGGGAUGGACUCGCGGCCUAUCAGCUAGUUGGUGAGGUAAUAGCUCACCAAGGCGACGACGGGUAGCCGGCCUGAGAGGGUGACCGGCCACACUGGGACUGAGACACGGCCCAGACUCCUACGGGAGGCAGCAGUGGGGAAUAUUGCACAAUGGGCGCAAGCCUGAUGCAGCAACGCCGCGUGAGGGACGACGGCCUUCGGGUUGUAAACCUCUUUUAGUAGGGAAGAAGCGAAAGUGACGGUACCUGCAGAAAAAGCACCGGCUAACUACGUGCCAGCAGCCGCGGUGAUACGUAGGGUGCAAGCGUUGUCCGGAAUUAUUGGGCGUAAAGAGCUCGUAGGCGGUUUGUCGCGUCUGCUGUGAAAACCCGAGGCUCAACCUCGGGCCUGCAGUGGGUACGGGCAGACUAGAGUGCGGUAGGGGAGAUUGGAAUUCCUGGUGUAGCGGUGGAAUGCGCAGAUAUCAGGAGGAACACCGAUGGCGAAGGCAGAUCUCUGGGCCGUAACUGACGCUGAGGAGCGAAAGCG